UGAAAUUGCUGAUCUCCAAACAUUUUUGAAAUACAGAAUAUGGCAGUUACAUAUGGAUCAACCUAAUAGCUUUUUGGGUUUCCUCUUCUAUAAAUAACUUGUUUUAUUAUCUUGUUAAUUUUUCUAUCAAGUUGCUUUUUUUAUAGUUCCUUUGCAGAAAUUUCUUAUAUUCUAGGUGUUGAUCUCUUAGGGUUUUCAGACACUGGCAAGUACUUUCUCUCCUUCUCUCUCCUAUUACCUUGUUCAUGGCAUCAGCUCUUGGUUGUAGCAGAGGUAGUAGUAGUAAUAGGCAAUUAUUUAGCAUUUACUGUGUACCAGGCAUUGUUCUAAACAUUAUGCUUAUAUGAAAUCAUUUAAUGCGAGAAAUUGAAGCACACAGAAGUUAAAGGAUUGCCCAAGUUCACUCAGCUAAUAGGUGUUAGAGCUCUCAUUUAUCAAUCUAUAAAUUUCUUGCCUUAUGGUUUGAGAUUUUGAAGGUUUUUUUUUUUUUUUUUAAGGAAACUUUACCUGUACAUAGUACUCUAUACUUUCAUGUACAUUUUACUUUAAAAUUUUUUUUUAUUUUUAGUUUUUUAGGAAUAUUAGCCCUGAGCUAACAUCUGCCGCCAAUCCUCCUCUUUUUGCUGAGGAAGACUGGCCCUGAGCUAACAUCCGUGCCCGUCUUCCUCAUCUUUAUAUGUGGGACACCUACCACAGCAUGGCGUGCCAAGCCAUGCCAUGUCCACACCCAGGAUCCGAACUGGCGAACCCGGGCGGCCGAAGCAGAACGCGCCCACUUAACUGCUGCACCACCGGCCGGCCCCCACUUCACUUUUACAUGUGGGUGAGCUGAGCCCUUUCAACUCACUGGGAAGAGCCUGGUGCUUGAGAUCUGAAGGUCAUGAAUUCUAUCGCACUGGCAGGUUUCAUGGAUGUGGUUAGCAGAUGACUGUGAAGCCUGUAUUCUUUGUAUAUAGGGUCACAGAUCAUUAAACAUCACUUCCAUUAACAUCUGCUUCUGUCUUUCAACAAUAAUGUAUGUGAGCCAAUGGAAUGUCUUAACAGGGGGAAAGGUAACAAAUAUCUUGGCCCUGCUUCACAGACAUAUUUGCACACAUACACACAGAAAAUAUUAAUGGCUGUACCUUAAAUGAUCAUCACAAGAAAGAUUUUUCCCUUGGAUGCUAUAUAAAAAAUAUGACUAAGAGGAAUUGAGAAAAGUAAAACUCCCUUUCUUGAGACC
rnacentral:lncRNA from 1 species